GCAUAUCAAUAAGCGAGGAAAGGAGCCAACAGGGAUUGCCCUAGUAACGGCGAGUGAAGCGGCAGCAGAUCAGAUAUGAAAUCAGGCGUCUUUUGGCGUCCGAGUUUGUAAUUUGCAGAGGGCGCUUUGGCAUUGGCAGCGGUCCAAGUUCCUUGGAACAGGACGUCACAGAGGGUGAGAAUCCCGUACGUGGUCGCUAGCCUUUACCGUGUAAAGCCCCUUCGACGAGUCGAGUUGUUUGGGAAUGCAGCUCUAAAUGGGAGGUAAAUUUCUUCUAAAGCUAAAUACUGGCCAGAGACCGAUAGCGCACAAGUAGAGUGAUCGAAAGAUGAAAAGCACUUUGGAAAGAGAGUUAAAAAGCACGUGAAAUUGUUGAAAGGGAAGCGCUUGCAGCCAGACUUGCCUGUAGUUGCUCAUCCGGGUUUUUACCCGGUGCACUCUUCUAUAGGCAGGCCAGCAUCAGUUUGGGCGGUUGGAUAAAGGUCUCUGUCAUGUACCUCUCUUCGGGGAGAACUUAUAGGGGAGACGACAUGCAACCAGCCUGGACUGAGGUCCGCGCAUCUGCUAGGAUGCUGGCGUAAAGGCUGUAAGCGGCCCGUCUUGAAACACGGACCAAGGAGUCUAACAUCUAUGCGAGUGUUUGGGUGUCAAGCCCGAGCGCGUAAUGAAAGUGAACGGAGGUGGGAACCCCUCGGGGUGCACCAUCGACCGAUCCUGAUGUCUUCGGAUGGAUUUGAGUAAGAGCAUAGCUGUUGGGACCCGAAAGAUGGUGAACUAUGCUUGAAUAGGGUGAAGCCUAGAGGAAACUCUGGUGGAGGCUCGCAGCGGUUCUGACGUGCAAAUCGAUCGUCAAAUUUGGGCAUAGGGGCGAAAGACUAUCGAACUAUCUAUAGCUGGUCUG
rnacentral:rRNA from 1 species